CCCAGAGUCGUCAGCGACUGGACUUGACUGUCAGCGGUCCUUUACCUUUACUAUAUAUUUACUGAGGGACGUCGUUGCUUCAUUUCCUCGAGGGCUCUCACUGCAAGUGGCAGAGCCAUAGUUACAGUACAGCUGGGAGGAUGGUUGGAUCACAUUCUCUGUAAGUCAAACGGCAAGUCCUAGGAAACUAUUUCCCCUGUCCUCAUGAUGACUCAAGGGAAUAGAAUAGAACAUGAAGCCAAGCUGGCAUGCAGGCCCCAGGGAAAGUUUGCGCAGUUCGCAUUCUCAGUUUCCUGUGCAGUUCCGAGAGAGAUCUUGUUGACACAACCCUCACCCUUUCUCUCCUCUUGACACAGCUUCUCCCCCCCUUUUGGGAAGUAUCGUAAUGACUGCUGGGAAACGAUCCCUAACCAACCUUUUCCUGACAGAAAAUGAAGUGUUUUCCCUUCCCCAUCUCAUGCAAUUCCGUUAGCAGAGAAACAUGGAAGGAUUACAGUUUCUGGGUCGCACUCUUGUGUUUUCUUCUCAGAGUUGUGUGUGUUGUGUUGUGUGGUGUAGUGGUGAAUGCUGUUUGGUUGCCACUUUUGAAGUGAGAUUGAACCGCCUGCCUGGUCAGUCUUAGCUUUGCCUCAGGUAGCAAAAUGUUUUAGGGAGCCCUCCAAUAGUGUACAUGUUUUUCAGUCAGAACUUGAUGAAACUCAGUUCUGGCACUUCUCAGGUUGCUAUUUUUAAGAGAAUGAGGUUCAGGGUGAGUUCCAACACCUCUUUUUCUAGAAAAAGAGCAUUCAGUGGUACCUCAGGUUAAGAACCUAAUUCGUUCUGGAGGUCCGUUCUUAACCUGAAACUGUUCUUAACCUGAAGCACCACUUUAGCUAAUGGGGCCUCCCGCUGCCACCGCACGAUUUCUGUUCUCAUCCUGAAGCAAAGUUAUUAACCCAAGGUACUCUUUCUGGGUUAGCAAAGCCUGUAACCUGAAGUAUCUGUAACCUGAAGUGUCUUUAACCCGAGGUACCACUGCAGAGUACAUCAAACCCUGAGCUUUGUGUUUUUACUGGAAUGACAGCAUUCUAUGCUAUAGGGGUGACCACCCACUUCCCUGAGCUUUGUUCACCUGCGUAAGCAGUUUGAAACGUCCCUUAUUGUUGCUGUGAGCUCAAUAUGUUUUCUCUGGGAUGGUUUUUUUAUGAGGUACAGAAUGAAUAUUAUGGUGUGAUGCCUGUCGUUGGCAUGACAUGUGCUGUAGCAGCUUUGAUUAGCCUGAAUGGGCAGAAUCUGAUUCUUUUCCCUUCGGAAACUGGAUCAUCCCAAGCAGCACGGAUUAGCAUCACUGAUUAACCUGUUGCCCUCCAUCUGGACUCCAGUUCCCACCAGCAGCUCCCCAACCAGUGGCCAAUGGUAAGCAAAGGUGAGAGCUGUAAUCCACCAACACCUAGAAGCUUAUGUGGUCCUUCAUGUCUGAAGAAGAAAGACUUGGUACCUUCCUGGCAACAUGAGACUAUUUGAUGCACACUCUAUUAUGGCAGCCAGAGAAAAAGUGGAAGUCUGGACAAUACUAACUCAAUCAUGCCAGUUUCCCUGAGGGUUUCUUCUGUUCUCUGAUUAUUUUCUCUUACUGCCACCACACCAUUUAUUUAUUUUUUUGUUUCAGCAAAGACACCAGGCCUAUAAGAACUGCUGCUGCGGCUACUACCCAGGAGGUCUCCCCUGCUCAGCGCCUGAGGGCCCCAGUCCUGACACUCACCACCUGGCCCAGGGCGGAGCCUGAUGGGCUCUAUAAAGGACUGCUGCCGCUGCUGCUGCUGGGCAGAGAGGGCUCCAUUUUGUUUUGGUUUUGUUUAAAUUGCUGUUAUUUUUUACCUAUGUCAUUUUAAAC